rnacentral:rRNA from 1 species
GACGAACGCUGGCGGCGUGCCUAAUACAUGCAAGUCGAACGAGGGGCGGACGGGUGAGAAACACGUGGGUAACUACCCAUCAGAGGGGGAUAACUACUGGAAACGGUAGCUAAUACCGCAGACUAUCGGAUCACACAUAUGGGAUUAGCUAGUAGGUGAGGUAAUGGCUCACCUAGGCGACGAUCCCUAGCUGGUCUGAGAGGAUGAUCAGCCACACUGGGACUGAGACACGGCCCAGACUCCUACGGAGGCAGCAGUGGGGAAUAUUGCACAAUGGGCGCAAGCCUGAUGCAGCCAUGCCGCGUGUAUGAAGAAGGCCCUAGGGUUGUAAAGUACUUUCAGUCGGGAGGCGUUACCGACAGAAGAAGCACCGGCUAACUCCGUGCCAGCAGCCGCGGUAAUAC